AACUUUCCAGAGAUGGAUUGGUGCCUUCGGGAACUGUGAGACAGGUGCUGCAUGGCUGUCGUCAGCUCGUGUUGUGAAAUGUUGGGUUAAGUCCCGCAACGAGCGCAACCCUUAUCCUUUGUUGCCAGCGGUCCGGCCGGGAACUCAAAGGAGACUGCCAGUGAUAAACUGGAGGAAGGUGGGGAUGACGUCAAGUCAUCAUGGCCCUUACGACCAGGGCUACACACGUGCUACAAUGGCGCAUACAAAGAGAAGCGACCUCGCGAGAGCAAGCGGACCUCAUAAAGUGCGUCGUAGUCCGGAUUGGAGUCUGCAACUCGACUCCAUGAAGUCGGAAUCGCUAGUAAUCGUGGAUCAGAAUGCCACGGUGAAUACGUUCCCGGGCCUUGUACACACCGCCCGUCACACCAUGGGAGUGGGUUGCAAAAGAAGUAGGUAGCUUAACCUUCGGGAGGGCGCUUACCACUUUGUGAUUCAUGACUGGGGUGAAGUCGUAACAAGGUAAGCGUAGCGAG
rnacentral:rRNA from 1 species